CUGCGGUAAGGCCCUUUCGGGGGUACACGAGCGGCGAACGGGUGCGUAACACGUGGGCGACCUGCCCUCAGCUCUGGGAUAAGCCUGGGAAACUGGGUCUAAUACCGGAUAUGACUUCACAUCGCAUGGUGUGUUGUGGAAAGUUUUUCGGCUGGGGAUGGGCCCGCGGCCUAUCAGCUUGUUGGUGGGGUGAUGGCCUACCAAGGCGACGACGGGUAGCCGGCCUGAGAGGGCGACCGGCCACACUGGGACUGAGACACGGCCCAGACUCCUACGGGAGGCAGCAGUGGGGAAUAUUGCGCAAUGGGCGGAAGCCUGACGCAGCGACGCCGCGUGGGGGAUGACGGCCUUCGGGUUGUAAACCUCUUUCGACCUUGACGAAGCGAGAGCGACGGUAGGGGUAGAAGAAGCACCGGCCAACUACGUGCCAGCAGCCGCGGUAAUACGUAGGGUGCGAGCGUUGUCCGGAAUUAUUGGGCGUAAAGAGCUCGUAGGCGGUCUGUCGCGUCGGUCGUGAAAACCUGCAGCUUAACUGUGGGCUUGCGGUCGAUACGGGCAUGACUGGAGUUCGGCAGGGGAGACUGGAAUUCCUGGUGUAGCGGUGAAAUGCGCAGAUAUCAGGAGGAACACCGGUGGCGAAGGCGGGUCUCUGGGCCGAUACUGACGCUGAGGAGCGAAAGCGUGGGGAGCGAACAGGAUUAGAUACCCUGGUAGUCCACGCCGUAAACGGUGGGCGCUAGGUGUGGGGGCCAUUCCACGGUCUCUGUGCCGCAGCUAACGCAUUAAGCGCCCCGC
rnacentral:rRNA from 1 species